rnacentral:rRNA from 1 species
AGCGAACGCUGGCGGCAGGCCUAACACAUGCAAGUCGAACGAACUCUUCGGGGUUAGUGGCGGACGGGUGAGUAACACGUGGGAACGUGCCUUUAGGUUCGGAAUAACUCAGGGAAACUUGUGCUAAUACCGAAUGUGCCCUUCGGGGGAAAGAUUUAUCGCCUUUAGAGCGGCCCGCGUCUGAUUAGCUAGUUGGUGAGGUAAAGGCUCACCAAGGCGACGAUCAGUAGCUGGUCUGAGAGGAUGAUCAGCCACAUUGGGACUGAGACACGGCCCAAACUCCUACGGGAGGCAGCAGUGGGGAAUCUUGCGCAAUGGGCGAAAGCCUGACGCAGCCAUGCCGCGUGAAUGAUGAAGGUCUUAGGAUUGUAAAGCUCUUUCACCGAUGAAGAUAAUGACGGUAGUCGGAGAAGAAGCCCCGGCUAACUUCGUGCCAGCAGCCGCCGUAA